UACGGAAGGCUCCGAACAAUUACAAUUAUCGCGAGUUGCGGUCACGCAGAGCUCUGCCUUACCAGCAAUUCGCGACAAUGAAAUAAAACGACUGUUGCUGGAAGCCCCCGUUAUUACCCUCGACAAUGGUGCAAGGCCGGAACUGCUCCGCUGACGUCUUUGAUGCAGGAAGUGACUUAUGGGGAGAUGGACGAUAUGUGAAGAGCUUUAAUUUCGCCCCAAUGGCCGAGACAAUGAACGGGGGAGUUAUAACCGCUUGUUUUGCUCGCAAACACUUGCAUAACUCUGCAAUUAUGUUGGCCACCUUUACAACGCAUUGUCUAAGCGGCGAUAAAUUUUUCGGGUCACACUGUAACUUGCAACAGAUAAAACUGAUCACGAAAAUGAAAUUAUGUAACAAUUUCACUUCAAGGAACCAAGAAUACCAUAUAAUUUUAUUCUUCCUGUUAUGACAGCUUAUUUAUUUAAAAAGCAUUUGGAUGAAAAUUUUUGGAAUGGUUUCGACCACACACCGAGAAACUCACUCCAGGAUGGAUUCGUCUGUAGCUUCAAAACUUGGGAUAUUAUGACUGUAUUUUAUACAACUUUACUUCUAGGCUACAAAUGGCUUCAUAAAAGUGAAGCAAACAGUUGAAUACGAAAAAUAUGUGUAUGUGUUCGACAAACAAAGCCACAGCUUUUAUGGGGAUCUGAUGUAGGAGUCGAAUAUGAAGUCUUCAAUUAGCACUUCGUACGAGCUUAAUAAAAAGGGAAAAGUCAAUAUAGACACAAAACUAGCUAGAAAUAAAAACCCAAAAAGUCGAGUUAGUGACCUGAGUCUCAUCUUCACACACUUUUCUACUUGUUAUUUUUAAUUCCGUCAAUAUUUCUCAAGACCAAAAUGUUUUAUUUAGGAGCUGUUAUUCAUCUAAAUGUCACAGAAGACAUUACUAAAUGCUUUUUCUAUUGUUUGGUGAGUAGGUGGCGCCAAAGCUGUAUGUUAAUAAGAAAUAAAUGUGCAUAUUUUGUUUCGA